CUGGGUGCGCUUGCAAUGCAGUCGAGCGGAUGACGGGAGCUUGCUCCUUGAUUCACGGCGGACGGGUGAGUAAUGCCUAGGAAUCUGCCUGGUAGUGGGGGACAACGUUUCGAAAGGAACGCUAAUACCGCAUACGUCCUACGGGAGAAAGCAGGGGACCUUCGGGCCUUGCGCUAUCAGAUGAGCCUAGGUCGGAUUAGCUAGUUGGUGGGGUAAUGGCUCACCAAGGCGACGAUCCGUAACUGGUCUGAGAGGAUGAUCAGUCACACUGGAACUGAGACACGGUCCAGACUCCUACGGGAGGCAGCAGUGGGGAAUAUUGGACAAUGGGCGAAAGCCUGAUCCAGCCAUGCCGCGUGUGUGAAGAAGGUCUUCGGAUUGUAAAGCACUUUAAGUUGGGAGGAAGGGCAGUAAGUUAAUACCUUGCUGUUUUGACGUUACCGACAGAAUAAGCACCGGCUAACUCUGUGCCAGCAGCCGCGGUAAUACAGAGGGUGCAAGCGUUAAUCGGAAUUACUGGGCGUAAAGCGCGCGUAGGUGGUUUGUUAAGUUGGACCGCCUGGGAACUGCAUCCAAAACUGGCAAGCUAGAGUACGGUAGAGGGUGGUGGAAUUUCCUGUGUAGCGGUGAAAUGCGUAGAUAUAGGAAGGAACACCAGUGGCGAAGGCGACCACCUGGACUGAUACUGACACUGAGGUGCGAAAGCGUGGGGAGCAAACAGGAUUAGAUACCCUGGUAGUCCACGCCGUAAACGAUGUCAACUAGCCUUUGGAAUCCUUGAGAUUUUAGUGGCGCAGCUAACGCAUUAAGUUGACCGCCUGGGGAGUACGGCCGCAAGGUUAAAACUCAAUGAAUUGACGGGGGCCCGCACAAGCGGUGGAGCAUGUGGUUUAAUUCGAACCAACGCGAAGAACCUUACCAGGCCUUGACAUGCAGAAASUUUUCAGAGAUGGAAUUGGUGCUUCUGGUACUCUGACACAAGGGCUGCAUGGCUGUCAGUCAGCUCGUGUCGGGAAAUGAUUGGGUAGUUCCAGUACGG
rnacentral:rRNA from 1 species